GAUGAACGCUGACAGAAUGCUUAACACAUGCAAGUCGAUGGGGAAGUGGUGCUUGCACCAUGGCAACCAUGGCGGACGGGUGAGUAACGCGUAAGGGACUUACCUGCAGGACUGGGAUAACAGGGGGAAACUCUUGACAAGACCGGAUAAUGUCAUGGAGCUGCAUGGCUUUAUGAUGAAAGGAGACGCCUGCGGAGAGCCUUGCGUCCUAUUAGCUAGUUGGUGAGGUAAUGGCUCACCAAGGCGAAGAUAGGUAGCCGGCCUGAGAGGGUGGACGGCCACAAGGGGACUGAGAUACGGCCCUUACUCCUACGGGAGGCAGCAGUGGGGAAUAUUGGACAAUGGGGGCAACCCUGAUCCAGCAAUUCUGUGUGCACGAAGAAGGUUUUCGGAUUGUAAAGUGCUUUCAGCAGGGAAGAAGUAAGUGACGGUACCUGCAGAAGAAGCGACGGCUAAAUACGUG
rnacentral:rRNA from 1 species